rnacentral:lncRNA from 1 species
AAAAGGGAUGACUGUUUAGCAGCUGGUAAUUUCAGGGAUUACAAGAUAAUACUUCUUGAAGCUACUUUUCAUCCUGAAGCUAAUAUUAAGGCAACCUCAGAUUUACAAGUCUGCAAAGCAGAAAUGAAGGCACUGUAGUUGCACCACGGCCUCCAACAUAGGACAGGCACAAGACAGUUCACUAGGGCUUAAGGGGGAAGUGUGAGAACUUAUAUUUCUCUACAAAAGAAAUAAACUUUGCUAAUCGGCACUCAGAUGCUUGUUCUGUGUAUGUAAAAAAGUCAUGGGGUAUAUGAGGGGUCUGAAGGUAAGAGUAGGGACUGUACAACAUGUACAAGUCAGAGGAGUUGAUGCUGGGGCCCUUAUUCAUUCUUACCACAUUGAGAAGUUACAGUUUCCGUGUGUCUAGUAAAUAGAGUUACAGAUUAUAUUAUCUGGUUUUAACAAAACUCUCAAUAUAAGACAGGCGGCUUUUGAAAAAUGGCUGAUUCUCACAGUCAUAUUUUAACCUAAUACCCUUGUGGAAUUCAGCGAGGACAUGCUGGUAGGGACCUGACUAUUGUUACUAGUUUUGAAUGUCUCAUCUGUUACAGGGCCACUGCUCUGACCUCUCCAAGUCAGGUGUAGUCCCCACCUGCUCUGGAUUCUCCCAGGGAACCUUUGGAUCUCCUCAAGAUCUAACAACCAAUGGGUUAAUGUCUGGAAUAGUAGGAGGCCUCAAGACCCUUCCCUAGCACUAAAGACCUGUGACCAUUUCGACUGGUCACUGGAAUUCCUGCAAGUGUGGCUCUGCUGUUCUAGAUUGACAUUGUCGACCCUGAAGGAAGCGAUGUUGAUGUUCACAGAGACCUGCAGAGUGACCUCUCCUCCAAAUGCCUCAAAAUAAAUGAUGGCAUGCCUGAGACUACAUUUAGUGCCAUUUGGCUACCAGGCUUUUCUAAAACCUGUAUCUUCUGAGCUCCAACAGCCAAGCUGCUGCUACUUGGCACCUGCAUGUCCUGGUGUUCUUAAGUGUGUGCUGUUCCACAUCACAGUGAUGGGGUGUGGGACUUUUGAGGGAAGAGACUUGGCCCACGGAGGACUAAAGCGUUGCCACAGAUGAGUUGGUCAUAGACAGUAUCAAAGGGGAGUUUGUUACUCAAGUUUGCAAAGGACAUUAUUAGACAACCCAACAAUCCCACAGCAGCGUGGCCAUGCAGAGACUUCCAUGACUUCAUCUAUCUACUUACGUUGCACCUAUCUACUCAGCAUCUACUAUGUGGGGCUAACUGUGGCACUGAAGAUACGGACAUGAGAAAGAGAGAGUGCCUUUGUUAAGGAGCUCACAUCCCAGUGAGAAAGCAAGGUUAAGAGAAUGAUACAAUUCAAGAUAAGAACAGACACAGAAAUGUGUCACGUGCUAUGGGACUGCAGAGAAAGGAGAGAAUAGAUCUCCCUGCGGGCUGGGAGGAGCAGUGGGGAAAGCUUCACAGAAAAGUACCUUUUCAAUUAGGCUUUAACUUUGGACAGUUGCUUUCAAAGCUGGAGGCAGGAGAAGGGAAGUAGGACAGGCAUGGAGGCACCAGCCACAGAGCACCUCAAGGCAGAGGAGAUUUGGGUGCUGUGCCACCUGGGAGGUGAGGCUGAUAGGACAGCUGUGCAUCAGGCAGGGAAGCUGGAGGGGUAGGUCAGACCAGAAUGACAUGGGUCCUGAAAGCUUUGUUAAUUACGUUACUCUGGAGGCAGUGGGGAGCCACUGAAGGUUUUAAAGCAUGGCCUCCUGUGCCAUGCUAAGAAACAGCUAAUUUUACUGAAGGCAAUGGCAAAGGACAUCAAGCAGGCAAGGAUUGUUCCAAUUUUCCCUUUGAUGAGCCCACUAGCACUAUGAGGCAGUAAUAAGGCUGCUGCCAUAGUUCACGUGAAGGAAGAAGAUGCUCUACCAGUGCAAAUGGAGUAGAGGUGAAAACAUAGAUUCAAGGUACAUUUCAGAGGGAGAGAAAGCAAGAUACUAUUCCUUCUUGUGUGUUGGGCGAUGGGGGGAAGGCAGAAGACAUGCAAGCCUGGAUGUUUCAAACCUAGUGAGUGGGCUAGAGCUGCUUCCAUUUAUGUUCCUAAGCACUGCUUUGGCAUUUAUACUGGAAUCCUAAGGGUCAAUAAGAUAUUUUUCCUUUUGUAGGGGUCAGAUUAGCUGCCAAAGCACUGGAGGAGUUGGAGGAGUUGGAGGAGUUGCUGACAUCAGCCCUUAGAGUUUGGAAUAUAGCAAUACUGCUUUAUCUGGAUUUUCCACAGGCCCCUGUUAUGGGCUGAAUUGGGUCCUCCCAAAAUUCAUGAGAUGAAGUGCUUGCCCCUAGUACCUCACAAUAUGAUUGUAUUUAAAGAUAAGUCAUUUAAAAAGGCAGUGGCAUUAAAAUGGGGUUGUUAGGGUGGACCCAAAUCCAAUAUGAUGGGUGUCAUAGCAAGAGGAGAUUAGAACACAGACAACACAGACAGAGGGACAAGGAUCAUGUGAGGUCACAGCAGGAAGGUGGCCAUCUGUAAGCGAAGGAGAGAGGUUUCAGGAGAAACCAAACCUGUCAGUAUCUUGAUCUUGGAGAUUGUAUUACUCUGUUCUCAUGCUGCUAAUAAAGAUAUACCCAAGACUGGGCAAUUUACAAAAUAAAGAGGUUUAAUGGACUUACAGUUCCACAUGGCUGGGGAGGCCUCACAAGGCAAAAGGCAAGGAGGAGCAAGUCGCAUUUUAUGUGGAUGGCAACAGGCAAACAGAGUUUCUGUGGGGAAACUCCCCUUUUUUAAAAUCAUCAGAUCUCGUGAGACUUAUUUGCUUUCAUGAGAACAGCAUGGGAAAGACCUGCUCCUGUGACUCAAUUACCUCCCACCGAGUCUCUCCCACAACACGUGGGAAUUCAAGAUGAGAUUUGGGUGGGGACACAGCCAAACCAUAUCAGACAUCUAGAGUCCAGAACUGUGAGAAAAUAAAUUUCUAUUGUUUAAGCCACCUAGUCUGCAGUGUUUUGUUAUGGGAGCCUGAGCAAACUAAUACACUUCCUAUGAAGAAAAUCUCACGUGAAGUCCAAGCCUGUCUGGUCUAAGAGAAAAAAGUCACCACCUGAGAACUGGGACCACAUUCUUUGUUCUAAUUGUUCCAGCUAGUCCAGCUUCUCCACUAACCUACUUAAUCAUUACAGACAUGGGCACUGUGACAAUGAUGGCCAGG